AGGAAAACAUUUUUCUUCUCUUCCCCUUCAAAACUUGUUUCAGCCUGAAGCAGCUCUUUGCUUGAAAGUCAGAAACUUUCCAUUGGGAGCUACUGGAUAACCCUCAUGCUGUGCAGUGGUCAAGGUGAAACUUCAUGAAAGGUGCUGGUGCACACAGUGGGACUUCUGACCAACAAGAGUCAGCAGCUGCAAGCACAGGCAAAGGUCUCUAGCUGGCAGCCAUUACAUAAAUAAAUAUGGCACUGAAGUUUCUCCUCCAUGACAGUCACAUCAAGGAUGUAAAUGUGAUUCUCACAAGUCUUCGAAGAACCAAAAGCCUUCACUGGAGCCAAGACAGUGCACCAUGCCGAGGCACACGUCCUUCAGCUCUUGGGACAACAGGGAGAUAGCUGCAAGAUGGUUUCUGGCUGGUGCACCUUUCUAAUACUGGGAGCAAUUUUGUCUCCAAAAGCCUUCUUUAAUUUCAAAGUAGGAAAGUAGUGGAAAUAAAAUGAGCUGCCUUUAAGAACCCUCUGCAAUUUCAGGCGAAUGUCACCGAUUGCUGAUUUUCAUAUGCCAUAAAACAAAAAAUAGCAAAGGAACUAUUAUCACAAGAUCUAUUAUUCUGAGAGUCAGUCUCUAGGCCUUGCAGGAGGAGAAAGCAAAAGUGCUGAUUUUUUAAUUUAUAACACAAUGCGUACUUUUAUUGUAAGGAAUAGAAAAAAUUACUCUUGUAAAUAUUUCUCUUGCUCGCUCUGUGUACUUUAGGUAGGUCAUCCACACCAUCCCUGUCACAGUGUGCUCUCCCAACAUCCUUACCUGUGCUGCAUGUAACCUUUUCAGCUGAACCAGCUGCCAAAUGAACUUGUAAGGAAACAUCAGAACAGGUUGGCCCCUGGGAGUAUGCUGGAUUCUGGAGCUCUAUUCCAAAAGUCACAAAUCACCUUCUGAAUAUGCUUUUCAGCAGCCUGAGAACUCUAUCUGGUUCAACAACCUACCAGAGACCAUGUAGCACAGCCUACCAGAUUUUACAUACAAUUCUAAAAUCUCUAGCUCAGCCUUUUUUAUUGACAAGUCAGGGCAAAGAGGGAAAGAGAAGCUCUGAAGAAAUUAAAUACUUUCCCUAUCAUCAAGUUGCCCAACUUUGAAACUUCUUAUUCAGAUAACUUCAGAUUCAAUCAAAUUACCAGCUGCCUACCUCCCACUCAUGCCAAAAUUAAAACUCAGCAGAGUAUGAAUGAAUGAAUGAAUUUCUGGAAGACAGCAAAUUUUGUCCUCAGCUGAAGAGUGUCCCCUGUUGCUCUGUAACAGCUGACCAAUGAUGCAAGUACAAGAUUCUGAGUUAGACUUAACAGAAUGAUAUUCACUUAAUAAAAAAGUAUCAGAUAAAGCACCUUGUUCUGCUGUUACUUUCUGACACAGCAAGAGAUCUUGCAGUAGAAGUACACAAGAUGCAUUGAGAGAAGCAGUACUAAUUUCAUUUUACAUCUAGUCACAGAAAGAGCAAGUGAAUUAUUCCUUCCCAUUAACAGGCAGAAUUAAACUCUAACCUACUGAAUCCUAAUCUUUAUCUGCUUCCCAGUCAAUUUGCAAUUUAUUCUUAAUUUCUUAUCAGCUCUUCUGAAGCAAUUUUACAUCUCUUGUAGGAAAAAUAUCAAAAUAUAACCUAUUCUUAUUUGUGCUACAGUAGACUUCAUAAAAGGAAUUCAAGAAAUAGUACAUGCAGAUAAUUAAGAAGUUAUAAACACUUCUUACAUUGCCAACUGAUUUAUCUCCUUAGAAGUCAGUGAGCUUAUUUUUUGUGGGCACUGCAGGGCUUUCAUGAGCUGAAACUUUAUCGUUUCCAGAGGAAUGAAUCCACUCCCUUUUGACCCUAGACAUAUCUGUAUCCUAACAACUACACAAAACAAUAGCAAAGUGUGACUAAACGUGAAUGGCAAUGUACUGCUGACAAGCUCUGACCAUUAACAUUUUUCUUUCUGUUUAACUCAGCAGGCGAAAGGCAGCUAACAGAAGCCGUCUGCUGUUAUGAGCACUCACAAGCAUUUCAUUGUGAGCAUGUAAAGAAAAUGAGUUUAAUUCCUUCUGAGAAUGCUACUUUCUAGGCUUUCAUUAUUUCUUUACAGAUUAAUUGUGGAUAAAUGCAAACAGCACAUUUUGAAACAGGACACUUUCCUCUGUUGGGAUUUUAGAAGCCUGCAACCGAAGCAGGUGAAAUAAUUGAGAUGUACAAGGCCAACAUCUGCUGUGCAAUUGUUCUGAUGUGAUUAGUUUUGCAACAGUGUUAUUAAAAGAAGGAUAUAGUCCUUUUAUAGCUUAACUGAUCGCAUUUAGAUGUUACUGAAGUUUGAACUCAAUGGGAAACAUUCUGCAGGGGUCAGGAGGGACUGCCCCUCACACUAGCACACAGCCUUAUUAUUAAAUGCUAUCAAGACUAGCCCUCCUCCUUUCUUGUGCAAAUACUAGCUAAUCUGAUGAUACAGACAAGCUAUUUCCAACCUUGCCUGCAAUACUGUCCUGAAGGAAGACAACGAGCCCUGCCCAUUUCUCUGGAAAAAUCAUUGUAGGUGCCCAUGUUCAGGAAAAGAUUUGUGGCACCUAAUCAUGAAUGGAUGGAAGAACAUGUGUGCUGUCCAGAAUAUGAAUGCUAUGAUUCUGCGCUUAGCAUUUCCAACUGUUCACUCUGCAUGGCUUCCUGCUCACAGCUCUGGUUGCUCUGACUUCUGUUCUGUGACACCUGCCUUAGUCGUUCUGUUAUACCUUAAUAAUUAACACUAAAUUCUGGAUUCCAGUGAAGAUACUUGGCACUUAUAAUUUUGGGAGAACAGUACCUUGCUUCUAGGCAUACAAGUCCAGGAAUUCCUUUUGUUCUUUGUUCUCCUACAAUCAAUAAGACUUAUACAAGAUCAGUCCACAACAACUGUUCCAGAAAAGUUAAUCAGGUAAUAAAGAGACAUUCCUAAAACACUAAGCUUCACAUUUCUCUGUCUAUAGAUAUGAUAAGAAUCAGAUCUAAUGAAGCCUUUGGCUGCUGUAAACUGAUAUUAGCACUGAAAUCAAUGUAGAUGUACUGAUAAAGAUCUAGACAGAAAGAUUAAUUAAAACAUUUUUUUCAAAAUAAAAAUAAAGGCCAUACAGCAAUGUUCACUUAUAAGAGAGCCUCUUCUUAUAAACAUCAUUUUGCAGCUCUUUGAAUUGUUACUGGAGACUUCUACGGA